rnacentral:rRNA from 1 species
GAUGAACGCUGGCGGCGUGCCUAAUACAUGCAAGUCGAGCGAACGGACGAGAAGCUUGCUUCUCUGAUGUUAGCGGCGGACGGGUGAGUAACACGUGGAUAACCUACCUAUAAGACUGGGAUAACUUCGGGAAACCGUAGCUAAUACCGGAUAAUAUUUUGAACCGCAUGGUUCAAAAGUGAAAGACGGUCUUGCUGUCACUUAUAGAUGGAUCCGCGCUGCAUUAGCUAGUUGGUAAGGUAACGGCUUACCAAGGCAACGAUGCAUAGCCGACCUGAGAGGGUGAUCGGCCACACUGGAACUGAGACACGGUCCAGACUCCUACGGGAGGCAGCAGUAGGGAAUCUUCCGCAAUGGGCGAAAGCCUGACGGAGCAACGCCGCGUGAGUGAUGAAGGUCUUCGGAUCGUAAAACUCUGUUAUUAGGGAAGAACAUAUGUGUCAGUAACUGUGCACAUCUUGACGGUACCUAAUCAGAAAGCCACGGCUAACUACGUG